rnacentral:rRNA from 1 species
CCUACGGUAGGCAGCAGUGGGGGAUAUUGCACAAUGGGGGGAACCCUGAUGCAGCGACGCCGCGUGGGUGAAGAAGCGCCUCGGCGCGUAAAGCCCUGUCAGCAGGGAAGAAAAUGACGGUACCUGCAGAAGAAGCCCCGGCUAACUACGUGCCAGCAGCCGCGGUAAUACGUAGGGGGCAAGCGUUAUCCGGAUUUACUGGGUGUAAAGGGGGCGCAGACGGCGAUGCAAGCCAGGAGUGAAAGCCCGGGGCGCAACCCCGGGACUGCUCUUGGAACUGCGUUGCUGGAGUGCAGGAGGGGCAGGCGGAAUUCCUGGUGUAGCGGUGAAAUGAGUAGAUAUCAGGAGGAACACCGGUGGCGAAGGCGGCCUGCUGGAGUGCAACUGACGUUGAGGCCCGAAAGCGUGGGGAGCAAACAGGAUUAGAUACCCCUGUAGUC